UAGAAUAUCCGCACAUUGGUUUCUCACUCAAAGAAUAUUGUGUAAGGUAACAUUCCAAUCUUUUGUCAAAAGGUCCCGAAUAGCCACCAAAAUGUUGACAUACUGAUGAAAUCUAAUUUGUACCAAUAAUCACCAAACUGUACAACAUGUAAGGAGUCUGAAAAACAUAACAGUUUUUUGAAACCUGCUUGCCAAAAGAGCUCAAUGCCAACCAAUAGAUCUUUGAUAUCAACAUGAAACACAUUAGAAAUACCUAUACUUCCAUAUAAGGUGAACUGGAAGGAGCCCUCAUAGUUC
rnacentral:lncRNA from 1 species